AGCAGAAAGCCACUGCCAGCACCUCUUUACCCAGCCAUGCUUUUAGCUUUUACCAUAAAGGGAAAUUCAUCUCUCUUCACUCUGACCAAUAAGCUCUCUACAUCUUUCUUUCCUAAAUAACGACUAAAGAAAUGCUAGAAUAUAUAUGACUUGGAAACUUUCUAAGGCACUUCAAGAUGAAUUAUCUCUUUCAACUUUGAACUGAAAGAAGAAGGCAAAUAAAUGCAGCAGAUAUCAGUGAGCUUCAUAAUUCCUCGUUCAUAG